rnacentral:rRNA from 1 species
UCAGGUCCAUUGAGAUGCGCACCGAAGUGCACACAAAAUUCCCAAAAUGGAUYGACCCUCGACAGCCGAAGCCGCCACUCUACUUCGCAACAGCAAAACCGAUUCAAAAGCCAAGCCAAACACAGCUACGGUUCACCAGCCCAUCACGCCACAGCAGGAAAAGCAUUCAAUAAKCGCCUGUUCAGCCRAAGCCAACCAUACCGCGAAUCGAASWCUCCUCCUUAAAA